rnacentral:rRNA from 1 species
UGGGGAAUAUUGGACAAUGGGGGCAACCCUGAUCCAGCCAUGCCGCGUGAGUGAUGAAGGCCUUAGGGUUGUAAAGCUCUUUCGCCGGUGACGAUGAUGACGGUAACCGGAGAAGAAGCCCCGGCUAACUUCGUGCCAGCAGCCGCGGUAAUACGAAGGGGGCUAGCGUUGUUCGGAAUGACUGGGCGUAAAGCGCACGUAGGCGGCUUGUUUAGUCAGGGGUGAAAUCCCGGGGCUUAACCCCGGAACUGCCUUUGAUACUGGCAAGCUCGAGUCCGGAAGAGGGUGGCGGAAUACCCAGUGUAGAGGUGAAAUUCGUAGAUAUUGGGUAGAACACCGGUGGCGAAGGCGGCCACCUGGUCCGGUACUGACGCUGAGGUGCGAAAGCGUGGGGAGCAAA